UCUUACUUUUUUCCUAUUGUUUAUCGCUUGUUUUUGUUGAUAUUCGCAAAUAUAUAUCAUAGACGGAAUAAUUUGAAUGCAUUCAAUCGCCACUUUCAAGUUGAAUUAUAUCUGAUAAAUCAACAAUGACUUUACUUACUCAGUCUACCUAUUCGAAUUAUAACGUUUGAUGGCAUCACCUGAAAAAAAAACAAGAGAUUUGUGCCAAAUAUAAAACCAUGUCACUUAAACAGACUCACAAAUCAGUCAAGAAUUUACCGUUGAAACGGUUGAAAGACCAGAAACUGUGAUAUCCAUUUUAUAAGGAUUUUUUUAUUCCCUCUCCAUUCAAUAGAAUAGCAAAUUAAGAAAUAUUCAGUAUUCACUAACAAGAAUUGAAGGACUCAAUCUAGAUUUACAGUCAAUUUUUCUAUGAAGAAUUGAUUCAGGUAGGUACUGAGUGAAAUAAAAAUGCAAUGGAUUAACUCCUAUUAUUUCGGUAAUACUCUCAGAGUAAAGAACAUAUGUUUAUUACUCUUACAAUUAGGACCAACGAUAGAAAAAAAGAGAGGCAUAUUAUAAUUGAUGACUUUGAUGAAAUAUAUUAUACUGAUUAUU